ACGGUUGUGCCAGGGUACGGUAGUGACAGUCGCAGUUGUAACGAAACUAUACGUAAAACGGGGGAGGUUGUGAGGGAGAAAGACGUGGCUCACAAGCCUAAACACGUUCCCCAGUAUUGCGUUAGCCGGCGCACGACGUUGACGUAAGCAGGAGCCCACAGUGCUUUUCAACAAUCAAAAAUGUCCAGGAUACGUUUGCGGAAGACCGAAAGAGCGCAGUGUGAUAUCAAAAAAUAAAAAGAUGCCGAUGAAGAAGUGAAACAAGGGAUUUCGUACGUGUAGCUCAAGCUACAAGCCUUUCUACAGCUACAAGUUUGAACAGAGCAAAUGUUGUUUUGUUGAUUGUUAAAACUAUGUUUGUAAGCUUAUUAUGUUAAACAUUUCUACAAUAAAAGAUAUUAUAGACCAUUUUGA